rnacentral:lncRNA from 1 species
UGGUAACUUUAUUUUCCCACGACAGGAACUUCAGCAUCACCAACCAACAUAGGAAAACAAGUGGCCCAUGGUUCGCCUGAGUUAUACUGGAAUUGCUCUGUUCUUCCAUCAGCUUCGCAUUUUACGUUCUGUGAUUCUUUUACGGGGGCUUGGCUUUCUUCUUCUACAAAGAAAUCCAUCUUGGCAAACAUAAGAUUGGCUACAGCUCUAUCGAUGGCAUUAGUCUUUGAUUCUGUGGCUUCAGUCUCUUGAACGCUGAAACAGAAAAAGAUUAAAUCAGUGAUUAAGAGAAAAAACCUCUUCUUUGAUAGGAAGACGCCAAACUAAGCAGUUAUCAAACAACAUAAAUAUGAAAUUAGGCCAUGUCGAGAAUGUGUUUAUGAGUCGUUAUGCCUCAUACUUCAUGCUACUGAUAUGAAUCAACAAGAUUGGAAUGAUAUAUUGAAGAAGUUCUCUGGGCAGUUUGAUAGGUUUGCCAUUUUGAAGUUUAUAUUUGAUUGAGCUCUUUAUCAGACAAAGAACUUUGCAAUUACAAAAUCCAAUUUUAGGACAGCAAGAAAAUUUUAUACAUAUCAAUACAUACCUAGAUUUUUCAUUAUUAACAGUCUCUACUGUUUUCUUCUCGAUGACAAGAUCUCCAUUUUGGACUGGGGUUGACGUGUUAGUCCUGGAAUUCUCCGCAAGACGAUAUAAAGAAUCUCGAAAGCAAUUUCUCGUCUUCAAGUUCAACUAAAAAUGCCAAGAAAUAGUGCCACUUUGAAUUAGUAAGCUUUUAUACAUCACACUAAUUCAAUAAAUGAUAGAGUAUGUUUGAAGUCAGAUUAUAAUACCUUUGACGUCACCAUUUCAAGCUCCUGAAGCACUGAUUCUUCUAGAGAUGUCUGUUCAUGCAUAUAUACUCUCCCAGUACCAUGCUCAGAUGCAACAGAAUCCUUUAGCACCGGUUCCUUGAUUAAAAGUAUAAUGAUUAGUAACCUGAUAAGCCCAAGUUUUGGAAUUAUGACAGACUUUAGUAUACAUUAGACUCAGAAAAAUACGAAGAUAAAACAUAUUAUUAUAGAAAUGGUACAACUGUGAAAAUCGGGAGUAAAUACAUGUCAGCAGUACUAGAAAACAUAGAGCAUAAAUUAAGGAUAAUCUUUCCAGAAAAAGAUUAGUCUUCCCAGAAUACAGAACACCCAAUUAAGGCUUGAAGACACAGUACAAUGACAAAAGGACCCCUAUAUGUGUAACUAAAAAAAACAUUAACAAGGCAUCCUUUCUAUGAAAUUUUGAUGUAUGCAUAACUAUUUAGUCUACCAUACAAUAGAUUAAUGAUCUUCUAUAGUCAUUAACACCGUAAACCAGAGAACACGCGUCAGGUUUGACUCUUUAAGAGACACAAUAGGGAAAUUCUCACC